GGAUCAGUAUGUUGGUCGUGCUUCGGUACGUACUGUCAUUACUGGUUUCUCCCUUCUGAAGAACCUUGAUGUCAUUAAUUUGGUGUCUUGGGGAAUCAGGACUGUUACUUUGAAAAAAUUAGAGUGUUUAAAGCAAGCAUACGCUUGAAUACAUUAGCAUGGAAUAAUGAAAUAGGACGUUUGAUUCUAUUUUGUUGGUUUCUAGGAUCGACGUAAU
rnacentral:rRNA from 1 species